GGGGGGGGGGGAAUAGGGCGAAGAACUCACAUGCGCAUGCGGCGGACGAAAGGAGCAGAUCGAAAAUGUUUUGAGGCAUUGAAGAAAGGAAAGACAUCGGUGGAUUAGCUUGUUUGAUUUUGGUUCUUCGGUUGAGUACAAGGCAUAUUCAGCCGGUUGCGGAGAGACCUCGGUUGGAAGUUUAGAAGUUUGUUCAAGCUCCAAGGGUGAG